rnacentral:rRNA from 1 species
CAGGCCUAACACAUGCAAGUCGAGCGGGCAUCCUUGUGGUGUCAGCGGCGGACGGGUGAGUAACGCGUGGGAACGUGCCCUCUGGUUCGGAACAACCCUGGGAAACUAGGGCUAAUACCGGAUACGCCCAUGGUCUUUGGUGAUCGUGGGGAAAGGCUUGCUGCCGGAGGAUCGGCCCGCGUCUGAUUAGCUAGUUGGUGAGGUAACGGCUCACCAAGGCGACGAUCAGUAGCUGGUCUGAGAGGAUGAUCAGCCACAUUGGGACUGAGACACGGCCCAAACUCCUACGGGAGGCAGCAGUGGGGAAUAUUGGACAAUGGGCGCAAGCCUGAUCCAGCCAUGCCGCGUGAGUGAUGACGGCCCUAGGGUUGUAAAGCUCUUUUACCUGGGAAGAUAAUGACGGUACCAGGAGAAUAAGCCCCGGCUAACUUCGUGCCAGCAGCCGCGGUAAU